AUAAAGAAGCCCGAAAGGGUCGAGUAACCUCUGCCAAAAGGAGCUCCACAAUAUCAGAGAAGGCUUCUUCUGAAUUAUCUUGUCAUCCCAUCAAAGGCCCAAGUUAAGAAACCAGGCUACAUUCCUAACCUGGGAGGAAUGGCAGAGCCCAAAGGAGAAAUGUGCUCAUUCCUGUCUUCUUGCCUCUGGAGAAUAUGUAGGAAGCUCACACAUGUGGUGCUGAUGGAGGAGGGCGUGAUGUGCAGAAAGGAUGAAAGCCUCCUCUGUCUAAGCUGUUCUGUGCUACUAAACGUUUCUCAUCCAUCAACUGUACAUAGCUACAUAUACGUCAUGCUGAGCAGCCACAGCAAACAAAAAGACAAAGGGGGUCACCACCGUGUUUUUUGUUGGGGCUUUUCCACCUCUUUGCUGUUGGGUCACAUUUGUCUUUGGAAAGCAAGCUCUGUCUCAUCUUGGGAAAGGCGGCCUGGGAUUUCACCUGGCUGGAUUCUGUGUGUUGCUGAGGGAGGAGCCUCAUGAAUAGUCACAAAGAGUUGGGCUGAUUCUAACU